CAGGCGACCGAUGGACAAUGAGAAAACUCGUCAAACAGGGACUUCUUAUUCUUUAACAGACCGAAACUCGUCGUACCGUUCUUCAGCGAUCUGCACAGUGAACAGAAAAGGAUAAUUCCACUUAAGUGUACAUAUUUAAGGUUGCUGUUCCUAUGCUCGUGGCGCGUGACUAACUUCUUACAGCUUCCAAUUUCCUUUACAAAAAUCUUGUUUGUCAUAUCGUUAACCUUCAGGGCAUCAUUGUCUUUAAUUGUCAACCGCACAUUCUUUUUUUUUUUU